UACGGGGGGGUAAGCGUUGUUCGGAAUUACUGGGCGUAAAGGGCUCGUAGGCGGCCAACUAAGUCAUACGUGAAAUCCCUCAGCUUAACCGGGGAACUGCGUGUGAUACUGGAUGGCUUGGAUUUGGGAGAGGGAUGCGGAAUUCCAGGUGUAGCGGUGAAAUGCGUAGAUAUCUGGAGGAACACCGGUGGCGAAGGCGGCAUCCUGGACCGGCAUUGACGCUGAGGCGCGAAAGCCAGGGGAGCAAACGGG
rnacentral:rRNA from 1 species